GAGUAAUAAUUAGGGUUUUGAUUUUUAACGGAAAAAAAGUUCUCCGAAGUCUUUAUAUCAUACACAGAUUACUUAACUGUCAUCUCCCUGAAUCAGAAAUCCAGCAGCUCUGUAGAAAUUCAACUUCUAUCUUCCUCAAUCAACCUACUCUUCUCCCAUCAAAGUUUGUGGUGAUUCUCAUGGCCAGUAUACAGAUCUUCUCCGUCUUUUGAAUUUGCCGGACCGCCUCCUGAGUCAAACUACUUGUUCCUAAGCGACUACGUUGACCGAGGGGAACACAUCACAGAGACAAUUUGCCUUCUCCUUGCAUACAAAAUCAGGGCUUGCGAUGGGCCAUUGGUAACGGGGAGCAGGUAGAUGUGUGGAGGGAUGUGUGGUGUGGUGAUGAACCUAUGCUACAGUUGAUUAUGUUGUAAAUUUUUCAUGCCAGUAUUUAUAGUAUGAGAGGGCUAAAACUUGAUAGAUUACUCAAAGUGGAAUACUAAAAUCUGGAUUACAGUGUACUGUAGAGGGCAAGAAAGAUUUGAUGUUUAUUAAAA